rnacentral:rRNA from 1 species
GGGUUGUGAGGUUAAGCGAAUAAGCGUACACGGUGGAUGCCUAGGCAAUCAGAGGCGAUGAAGGACGUGCUAAUCUGCGAAAAGCGUCGGUAAGGUGAUAUGAACCGUUAUACCCGACGAUAUCCGAAUGGGGAAACCCAGUAUCCAAUGGAUACUAUCAUUAACUGAAUCCAUAGGUUAAUGAGGCGAACCGGGAGAACUGAAACAUCUCAGUACCCCGAGGAAAAGAAAUCAACCGAGAUUCCCCU